AGCGUUGGGGAAACAUGCUCAACUUCCAGCAGUCAUUCCCGCUCGCCUCCUUUCUCUUUGCUCGAGGUCUUCGGUUCAGGCUCCACAACUGAUUGAUGCUGUUUUCCUGUUAGUAUCUCUUUUUCAUCAUGCACGAUCCUCCAUAGUGAUGGAAUGGAGACAGCUUCUCAGAGAAAGCACAGCUUUGGAAGCUUCAGCCAGACACCGUACAAGGGACAGGGGAGACUGAGAUGAAGAACACUCGGUGCUUCUUCCCAAGGCACUCGCAAUCUCGGAGAAGACAGAUGUGUACUCACACAGAUGCAUAUGCUACAGCACUGUGUGAUGAUGCUAUACAUGCACAAAGUGACCGGGAACAGAGCGGCCGUCCCUGGCGACUCAGGGGAGGCAUCACACGAGAGAUGACUUUAGAACCGGGCCUUUAAAGGAAACACAGGAUCUCUGCAGCAGUCAAGAAGGGGAAGAGAAGACUUGGUGUUAAAAAAUCAUGGGUUCAGGACAUACUGCCCCACAAUAUGGCACUUUGGCAUGUUGAAUAUUUUAAGCUAGAGGAAUUUGAGAAAACAGCAGAAGCAGGAAGGUCCCCUGAGGCGGUCCCCUGAAGUGGUCAUAAACUUUGGGAAGGACUCUGACCUUCUGAAGCAGGUCAUAAGACCCUCGUGUGAGAGUUGCCCUUCCUGUAGCUGGAGGAAAGGGGCAUCCUUAUCUCUCAAGACAAAAGGAGACAGAGAGGAAUCCAGAAAAACAAGCCUUGCUAAGCUUCCCCAGUUCACCACACUUACAUUGUACUCUCUGCCCUGUGAUAUUUCUCCAUGACUUUCCCCUCCUUAUCAAACCUAUUAUUAAAAACACUCCCAUUUAACUGUUUCUUCAGAUCCUCAUUUCCUUAUGAAGGCUCUCU
rnacentral:lncRNA from 1 species